UACGUAGGGGGCAAGCGUUAUCCGGAUUUACUGGGUGUAAAGGGAGCGUAGACGGCAGAGCAAGUCCGAAGUGAAAGCCCGCGGCCCAACUGCGGGACUGCUUUGGAAACUGCCCGGCUAGAGUGCUGGAGAGGUAAGCGGAAUUCCUAGUGUAGCGGUGAAAUGCGUAGAUAUUAGGAGGAACACCAGUGGCGAAGGCGGCUUACUGGACAGUAACUGACGUUGAGGCUCGAAAGCGUGGGGAGCAAACAGG
rnacentral:rRNA from 1 species